UACGUAGGGUGCAAGCGUUGUCCGGAAUUAUUGGGCGUAAAGAGCUCGUAGGCGGUCUGUCGCGUCUGCUGUGAAAACUCGGGGCUUAACCCCGGGCCUGCAGUGGGUACGGGCAGACUAGAGUGCGGUAGGGGAGACUGGAAUUCCUGGUGUAGCGGUGAAAUGCGCAGAUAUCAGGAGGAACACCGGUGGCGAAGGCGGCAUCCUGGACCGGUAUUGACACUGAGGCGCGAAAGCCAGGGGAGCAAACGGG
rnacentral:rRNA from 1 species